UGCACAUUAUUGAAGGCCACGAAAUCUCCCUU
rnacentral:piRNA from 1 species